GGAUGAACGCUAGCUACAGGCUUAACACAUGCAAGUCGAGGGGAAACGACAUCGAAAGCUUGCUUUUGAUGGGCGUCGACCGGCGCACGGGUGAGUAACGCGUAUCCAACCUGCCCAUCACUUGGGAAUAACCUUGCGAAAGUAAGACUAAUACCCAAUGAUAUCCCACGAAGGCAUCGGAAUGGGAUUAAAGAUUUAUCGGUGAUGGAUGGGGAUGCGUCUGAUUAGCUUGUUGGCGGGGUAACGGCCCACCAAGGCAACGAUCAGUAGGGGUUCUGAGAGGAAGGUCCCCCACAUUGGAACUGAGACACGGUCCAAACUCCUACGGGAGGCAGCAGUGAGGAAUAUUGGUCAAUGGGCGAGAGCCUGAACCAGCCAAGUAGCGUGCAGGAAGACGGCCCUAUGGGUUGUAAACUGCUUUUAUAAGGGAAUAAAGUGGGUCACGUGUGACUUUUUGCAUGUACCUUAUGAAUAAGGACCGGCUAAUUCCGUG
rnacentral:rRNA from 1 species